CCUACGGGAGGCAGCAGUGGGGAAUAUUGCACAAUGGGCGAAACCCUGAUGCAGCGACGCCGCGUGAGUGAAGAAGUAUUUCGGUAUGUAAAGCUCUAUCAGCAGGGAAGAAAAUGACGGUACCUGAUUCAUAAGCCCCUGCUAACUACGUGCCAGCAGCCGCCGUAAUACGUCGGGGGCAAGCGUUAUCCGGAGUUACUGGGUGUAACGGGAGCGUGGACGGCAGAACAAGUCUGGAGUGAAAUGCCGGGGCUUAACCACGGAACUGCUUUGGAAACUGGGCAGCUAGAGUGCAGGAGAGGUGAGUGGAAUUCCAAGUGUAGCGGUGAAAUGCGUAGAGAUUAGGAGGAACACCAGUGGCGAAGGCGGCUUACUGGACGGUAACUGACGUUGAGGCGCGAAAGCGUGGGGAGCAAACAGGAUUAGAUACCCUAGUAGUC
rnacentral:rRNA from 1 species